rnacentral:rRNA from 1 species
CAGUAGCCGCGGGAAUACGAAGGGCGCGAGCGUUACCCGGAUUUACUGGGCGUAAAGGGCGUGUAGGUGGCCUGGGGCGUCCCAUGUGAAAGGCCACGGCUCAACCGUGGAGGAGCGUGGGAUACGCUCAGGCUAGAGGGUGGGAGAGGGUGGUGGAAUUCCCGGAGUAGCGGUGGAAUGCGCAGAUACCGGGAGGAACGCCGAUGGCGAAGGCAGCCACCUGGUCCACUUCUGACGCUGAGGCGCGAAAGCGUGGGGAGCAAACCGGAUUAGAUACCCCUGUAGUCCCUGUCUCUUAUAC